rnacentral:rRNA from 1 species
GACGAACGCUGGCGGCGUGCUUAACACAUGCAAGUCGAACGGAAAGGCCCUGCUUUUGUGGGGUGCUCGAGUGGCGAACGGGUGAGUAACACGUGAGUAACCUGCCCUUGACUUUGGGAUAACUUCAGGAAACUGGGGCUAAUACCGGAUAGGAGCUCCUGCUGCAUGGUGGGGGUUGGAAAGUUUCGGCGGUUGGGGAUGGACUCGCGGCUUAUCAGCUUGUUGGUGGGGUAGUGGCUUACCAAGGCUUUGACGGGUAGCCGGCCUGAGAGGGUGACCGGCCACAUUGGAACGGGGAUACGGCCAAGACUCCAACGGGGGGAAGGGGUGGGGAAUAUUGCACAAUGGGCGGAGGCCGGAUGCAGGGCCGCCGCGUGGGGGAGGACGGCCUUCGGGUGGUAAACCGCUUUGGCCUGGGACGAGGCGUGAGGAAGGGAAAUGGGGAAGAAGCACCGGCUAACUACGUG